rnacentral:rRNA from 1 species
AAAUUGAAGAGUUUGAUCAUGGCUCAGAUUGAACGCUGGCGGCAGGCCUAACACAUGCAAGUCGAACGGUAACAGGAAGCAGCUUGCUGCUUCGCUGACGAGUGGCGGACGGGUGAGUAAUGUCUGGGAAACUGCCUGAUGGAGGGGGAUAACUACUGGAAACGGUGGCUAAUACCGCAUAACGUCGCAAGACCAAAGAGGGGGACCUUCGGGCCUCUUGCCAUCAGAUGUGCCCAGAUGGGAUUAGCUAGUUGGUGAGGUAACGGCUCACCAAGGCGACGAUCCCUAGCUGGUCUGAGAGGAUGACCAGCCACACUGGAACUGAGACACGGUCCAGACUCCUACGGGAGGCAGCAGUGGGGAAUAUUGCACAAUGGGCGCAAGCCUGAUGCAGCCAUGCCGCGUGUAUGAAGAAGGCCUUCGGGUUGUAAAGUACUUUCAGCGGGGAGGAAGGUGUUGUGGUUAAUAACCGCAGCAAUUGACGUUACCCGCAGAAGAAGCACCGGCUAACUCCGUGCCAGCAGCCGCGGUAAUACGGAGGGUGCAAGCGUUAAUCGGAAUUACUGGGCGUAAAGCGCACGCAGGCGGUCUGUCAAGUCGGAUGUGAAAUCCCCGGGCUCAACCUGGGAACUGCAUUCGAAACUGGCAGGCUUGAGUCUUGUAGAGGGGGGGUAGAAUUCCAGGUGUAGCGGUGAAAUGCGUAGAGAUCUGGAGGAAUACCGGUGGCGAAGGCGGCCCCCUGGACAAAGACUGACGCUCAGGUGCGAAAGCGUGGGGAGCAAACAGGAUUAGAUACCCUGGUAGUCCACGCCGUAAACGAUGUCUACUUGGAGGUUGUGCCCUUGAGACGUGGCUUCCGGAGCUAACGCGUUAAGUAGACCGCCUGGGGAGUACGGCCGCAAGGUUAAAACUCAAAUGAAUUGACGGGGGCCCGCACAAGCGGUGGAGCAUGUGGUUUAAUUCGAUGCAACGCGAAGAACCUUACCUCUGGUCUUGACAUCCACAGAACUUUCCAGAGAUGGAUUGGUGCCUUCGGGAACUGUGAGACAGGUGCUGCAUGGCUGUCGUCAGCUCGUGUUGUGAAAUGUUGGGUUAAGUCCCGCAACGAGCGCAACCCUUAUCCUUUGUUGCCAGCGAUUAGGUCGGGAACUCAAAGGAGACUGCCAGUGAUAAACUGGAGGAAGGUGGGGAUGACGUCAAGUCAUCAUGGCCCUUACGACCGUGGCUACACACGUGCUACAAUGGCGCAUACAAAGAGAAGCGACCUCGCGAGAGCAAGCGGACCUCAUAAAGUGCGUCGUAGUCCGGAUUGAGUCUGCAACUCGACUCCAUGAAGUCGGAAUCGCUAGUAAUCGUGGAUCAGAAUGCCACGGUGAAUACGUUCCCGGGCCUUGUACACACCGCCCGUCACACCAUGGGAGUGGGUUGCAAAAGAAGUAGGUAGCUUAACCUUCGGGAGGGCGCUUACCACUUUGUGAUUCAUGACUGGGGUGAAGUCGUAACAAGGUAACCGUAGGGGAACCUGCGGUUGGAUCACCUCCUUACCUUAAAGAA